rnacentral:rRNA from 1 species
CCUGACGCAGCAACGCCGCGUGAGUGAUGAAGGUCGUCGGAUCGUAAAGCUCUUUCGGCUGGGACGAAAACGGUCUGGCGAACAACCAGGCCCUGGUCGGUACCGGAAGAAGAAGCACCGGCUAACUCUGUGCCCGCAGCCGCGGUAAUACAGAGGGUGCAAGCGUCGCUCGGGAGUACUGGGCGUAAAGCGCGUGUAGGCUGCG